UACUAGCGAUUCCGACUUCACGCAGUCGAGUUGCAGACUGCGAUCCGGACUACGACUGGUUUUAUGGGAUUAGCUCCCCCUCGCGGGUGGGCAGCCCUCUGUACCGGCCAUUGUAUGACGUGUGUAGCCCUACCCAUAAGGGCCAUGAGGACCUGACGUCAUCCCCACCUUCCUCCGGUUUGUCACCGGCAGUCUCAUUAGAGUGCCCUUUCGUAGCAACUAAUGACAAGGGUUGCGCUCGUUGCGGGACUUAACCCAACAUCUCACGACACGAGCUGACGACAGCCAUGCAGCACCUGUGUUCAGGCUCCCUUUCGGGCACUCCUCGAUCUCUCGAGGAUUCCUGACAUGUCAAGGGUAGGUAAGGUUUUUCGCGUUGCAUCGAAUUAAUCCACAUCAUCCACCGCUUGUGCGGGUCCCCGUCAAUUCCUUUGAGUUUUAAUCUUGCGAC
rnacentral:rRNA from 1 species